AGCGAACGUUAGCGGCGGGCUUAACACAUGCAAGUCGAACGCGAAAGGGAUUCGUCCCCGGUAGCGUGGCGUCCGGGUGAGUAACACGUAGGAAACCUUGCCUCCAGCGGGGGAUAACGUCCCGAAAGGGACGCUAAUACCGCAUAAGCCCACGUCGGCCUCGGCCGAUGCGGGAAAAGAUGGCCUCUGAAUUCAUGCCAUCACUGAAAGAUGGUCCUGCGGGGCAUCAGCUAGGUGGUGGGGUAACGGCCUACCAAGGCGAAGACGCGGAGCGGGUCUAAGAGGAUGCUCAGCCACACGGGCACUGAAACACGGGCCAGACUCCUACGGGAGGCAGCAGUGGGGAAUAUUGGACAAUGGGCGAAAGCCUGACGCAGCGACGCCGCGUGAGGGAAGAAGGCCUUCGGGUUGUAAACCUCUUUCAGUAGGGACGAAGCCACUCGGGUGAAUAGCCCAGAGGGUGACGGUACCUACAGAAGAAGCCCCGGCUAACUACGUGCCAGCCGCCGCCGUAACAC
rnacentral:rRNA from 1 species